CCCCUAUAAUAGCAUUCUGAACAAAAACCCAAGUGACGGGAGUAGACGUUUAAAAGACGAGGAAUCAUACUAAUCUUUUACCAAUAUCAGAGCUAUUUUACAAUUAAAAUAACUAUUACAAUGAAAUGAAAAUUACAACUCAAACUUGAAGUAAUAUUUACAAUGUGCGGCCGAAGUUGGGCAAACUGCGGCUGCGAUAGUGUCAAGGGGCUAAGUAAAG
rnacentral:lncRNA from 1 species